rnacentral:lncRNA from 1 species
CAGUACUGUUUGACAAACCGCAUCCUUGUCCUUCUUUCAGGUUGGCUGCAGAAGGUCCGAAGAAAGAGGAGUUACUGGAGGAAAAAGUGGUUCAGAGGUGACUAUUCAACCGCAUAAGAGAUGGUGAAAAUUAACCUAUCACCACUGCUAAUGAACAUCACCCUAUGGAGAACCGAGACACAAAAGGGAAGAUUCAGAAUGUGUGACUUGUAUAAAAUAAAACCAGUUUCCCCCGACCCCAACACCUUCUUUGAACAUCUCUUUCUCCACCUCUCAAAAAAUUUCCUACUGAGUUGGUCCUCUAGUGAAAAGAGCAGUUAAUAAGAUGGAAAGCAACUGGACGUGGUGAAGAAAAAGCCAGCGAACUUAGGGGUGAGACUGAAGCCCCUCAGGGUGGCUGAGCUGCUAUUUGAAAAAUUCCUUCAAGUCACGUGCGGCCUGUCAAGAGAUGAGGUGAAGGAAGAGAAUGAUAAAUAUCUAUCUCCAGUGGAAGGAUCAUUUUGAAAGAAGGGCUGUUAGAUUAAAAACCAAGCUAGCCAGGGAACGUUAAAGGAAGAGAAGUUCUCACAAGCAUUUUAAUGCCAAGCAUGUGUUCCAACGAGAGGAACACAGGAAAGCUCUUCAGCAGAUGAGAAAAUGAAAUUCGGCAUCACUAAUUCAUAGGAAUGAUAACAAAAACGGCAGUGAAGAAAAUCUGUGCAUUUUAAAAAAUGCAUGUUUUUUGCUUAGUGUUGUCCCUUCCCCUCCUGGCUUUUAGUAUACUGCAUUCAUUAAAGUAGCUGAGAAGAAAAAUAGUAGAUGCUGUUAACGUCAGGCCUGAGAGCUUCCAUAUCCUGUGUUGCGUUGAGUUUUGGGUUUGUUUCCUUAUUCACUGUCUUCUAGAUCUCAGACCCUAGCAGAAGGGGAUCUCUCACUCUCACCCAGGUUGGAGUGCAGUGGUGUGAUCACGACUCACUGCAGUCUUGAACUUGCCAGGCUCAAGCAAUCCUCCUACCUCAGCCUUCUGAGUAGCUGAGACCACAGGGAUGUGAAGAGACAGGGUCUCACUAUAUUGCCCCGGCUAAUCUCGAACUCCUGGACUCAAGCAAUCUGCCCGCCUCAGCCUGCCAAAAUGCUGGGAUUACAGGAGAUCCCCAGAGGCAAUUGUCCACCUGACUUCAGAAUCAGAAGUAGCUCUGCUUUUCCUGAGAAGUGGUGCGGGUUUUGCCUUAUGGAUGCUAACUGAGACUGGAACAUGUUCCCUUUUUUGUAUCAGCUGCUGGUACAAAAUUGAGAGUUGAGAGCCAAAACUGUACCCUUAUCACCUGUCAGUAACUUAAGGAGGAAGUCAGCUACCAUGCCUCCAGGACACUCAAGUAACCCCAUGGAGAUGACAUUGCAGAGAAGAACUGGUCGAAAGCCAGUACCCACUUUGCCAUCUGUGUGAACAAUCCACCUUUGAGUGGGUCCUCCAGCCCACAUCAAGCCUUCAUAUAACAGCAGUCCUGAAGGACAUUUUAUUGUAACCUCGUGAAAAUCGAAGUAGGAACUCACCAGCCAAGUUGCUCCUGAGGAGAAGUCAGGCACCAUGUUAUGAGGACACUCAAGCAACCCUGUAGAAAGUUCCAUGUGGUGAGGAACUGAUACCUCCAAUCCAUGGCCAGUACCAAUUUACUUAGCAUGUGAGUGCAUCCUGGAAGUAGAUCCUCUUGUCUCAGCCAUGCCUGAAGCUGACUGCCAUCUCAUGGGAGGCCUCAAGCCAGGACUGUCCAGGCGAGCUGCUCCCAUAUUCUUGAUCCACAGAAACUGUGAAAUAAUUAAUGUUUAUGGUUGUUUCAAGUCACUUACAUUUUAAGUUCAUUUGUUAUGCAGCAGUAGAUAAUGGAAACUCUGUAAACAGGAGCCCAGUCUGGGGAGGAUGGAGAUAGUAAUCAGGAGAGGCUUCCUGGAGGAGGUGUUAGCUGAGCUAUGUCUUGUAGAAUGAGGAGGAGUUCUGAGUAGGAGUUAGUGAGGCAGAGAGUGUUGGGGUGCUAAGGCUUUCCGGGCAGGAGGAACAAUAUGUAUAAAGGACCACUUCAGGCCCCAUCUUCUCUGCAAAGUCUUCCCUAACCAUUCACUGCCUGAGUCAUUCAUUUACUUACUCAUUCAUUCGACAAAGCUUUGAUGAGAGCCUCCUAUGUCCUGGGCUCCAUGCAGAGUACUGGGGUUGCUGUAAGUUGCAUAUUCUGAGACUGCUCAGUUAGGCAUAGAAAACUCAAAUGCCCACAAGGGCUAGGCAAGUAAUGCAAGCCAGGGAAGCUGAGUGGUGCACUGGGAGUCAGGGGUGAGGCCAGAGAGAAGCGGAGAGCCCAAUUCCCAAGAAAGGCCCACCAUUUCUCAGCUCCAGUUGUCAGCUGGCAUGCCAGAAUGUAAGCCCAAAUCUGGCCAGAUCUUCCAAUUUAUCAAGAUAUCUAGAAAUUGUAUUUUAGUAUAAAGUCUCCUAAUUUUCAAAAGGCAGCCAGCCCAAACUUGUUGUCAAAUUUCUCUCUUUCCAGCCUUCUGUUCAGGAGCUCCAUGAGUUGGCUGGUGGAGACUUCAGCUUCUCUCCUGCGCUGACCGCAAAACUUUGUCCUCUGCCUUCUGGUUAGCUUGAGUCCUGUGUGACUGGUGCAAUGACUAAUUGUCUCAAUAGUUUUCUAAGUGGUGGCAUGUAACACUUGAGCUCCACUGAUCUCCCAGGAGGGGAAAGAAAGUUGGUGUUUAUUCACAUGCAGACUUCCAUAGCUCCUCAGCAAAGCCCUCUGUAGCCCAACACCAUUAUGGUAAAGGUGUCGAAGCAAAAUUACAGAAUGUAAGGUAGUUAAUCUGGUGGACAGUGAGCACUUUGUGCAUUUCUGAAGCCACGAUACCUACUGAUAGCAUCCAGGGUUGGCCACCUAGUGACUUUUCAAGACACUGGUAUGUGGCUGUGGGAGUGUCCAUAUCUUAGAAAGAGGACAGUGAGUUUAUGGAAGCCUUCCUGUGUGCAAACAUGGGGCUGUGCAUACAGAAGCUUAUUUAAUCCUCCCAACAGCCCUGGAAGAUUGGUGUUAUCAUUGUUCUCAUUUGCAGAUGAGAAAACAGAGUCCCAGGGAAGCUUACUGAUUUGUCCAGGGUCUUGCAGCCAAUAAGAGGCAGGGCAGGCAUCUCUUCUGGGACUGUUAAGUCUAUGUUCUUAUCUACUCUGCUGUAAUUUUUCUCCCUGGAGCUGAAAAAAAGAAAGCACUGGGGUUUCUGAGUUCUUAUUGGAGAGGAACAGAGCAAUGACAAUCUGAUCGGAGGAGGGUCAGGCUGUGGGGCAUGUAAAGCAGUGCCUAUAGAGCAGGCACAGCUUAUUGUUUUGUUUUGUUUUUUUUUCUCUUAGAAUGAGGUGCUUUCCCUUCUUCUCCUCCUACCCCCAAGUAAGCCCUUGGUGAUGCCACUGAGAGGGACCUAGUUAUGAAAGGAAUUUCAAGGACAACCCAUAUGUCAGAUUUAGUGACAUAGUUUGUACUGAGCUUGUGAGUUAUUAGUCAGGUGAGUCUUUUUCUCUGUUGUAUCAUGUACCUUGAUCUGUGGCGGGAAGCGGCACAAAGGAGAGGAAAUGCCAUAGGCUUUGGAGCCUGGGAAAUGUAAGUUUCAAUCCAGAUUCACUCACUAACUAGGUGUGUGACCUUGGACGCGUUGUAGCCUGUCUGAGCUCCAGUCUCCCCUUCCGGCACACGAGGUCAAGAAUAUGCAAUUUACAGCAACCUCAGGGCUCUUCGUGGAGCCUGGGACAGAGGAGGCUCUCACCAAAGCCUUGUCAAAUGAAUAAGUAAAUGAAUGAAUCAGUCAAUGAAUGGUUAGGGAAGACUUUGCAGAGCAGAUGGGGCUUGAAGCGGUCCUGGAGGAUUUAAUACGUGGAAAAGAGGAGGGAGAAAAUUGAAGAGAGGGAAUUGUAGGCAGGGAAAUGACAUAACCAGCAGCUUGGUGGAGAGAAUUCCAGGCUUAGAGGAUAAUGAAAGGCCAAUAUGGCUUCUGGUGGAGGAGAGGAUGGCCUAGGAGGGGCCUGCACCGACUUCCCCAUCCUGAUUAAAUUUCCUCAGUGGCCAAAGAGCGCUAGGUGCUGACACUAAUAGUUCCUUUAACAGGGCCUUUCAUCUCCUAUUCAAAGUGCUUUGCAAGUGUUAAUUAAAUCUCCAAACACCUCAUGAGAUAAAUAUUAUUUAUCCACCUUUUGUAGAUGAAGACAUUUAGGCACAAAGAGCGGUGAUUUUCCCAGGGCAAUGUCUAGAUGGGUGUCCAUUCCCACCUUCAUUCCAGAAUUGCCAAAACAUGUCUUUAGAAGAAAGCAGAAAAAACAAAUCAGAUCUUUUUUGCCAUCCCCCCUCCUAUACCCUCAUACAUAUAAAAAACAGAAAUUAGGACAAAAAAAAGAUGUUAUUUCAGAUAUUUCUUAGUUAUUUUAAAGUCCCCCCAAUGCAUUCUCAAAUGUAUACCUCCCUUCCCAAUUUUUUAGAACUUACAGGUUACAAGGUUGAGAAAAUUGUUCAGUUGAAUGAUUCACAGGUAUAUUCAGGCCUAAAAAUCCAUGCUUUAUAUUUCUCGUCUGUAACACGGGACCCCUCUUUCAGAGUUGUUGUGAGGAUUAAAGGAGUAAAUUUAUACAAAAGC